UACAUAAGUACUUUUCUUCUUCCCUUUCCGCAACCAACCUCACAAAAACCCUAAAUGUAUCAAUCUUCAUUGGCGCAUCCGGCUUUAGCCAAGCACGUCUGGCACUACCGCUAGUGGGAUCGAAAAAUUGGGGCCAUCCUCUCUCUUCCGGUUGUCUUCGUUCUUGCCCUCAGAUUCAGUCGUGUGUCUUGGUGGUGGACUCGCCAGCUGUCCACAAUCUUAACUCUAGACCUGCUUGUGGCCUUCUGCGGCAAUGUCCUCAUCAACGGCAUUCUUGAUGGGCUCCUUAACAUCGACAGGCUCCUCAAUGGCGACCUUCUAGGCAUGCUCCUCAACGUUAGGCUCCUCAACCCACGACUCCGCUCUCAGGCGAAAGCAAUGUUUGAUGGCGUCCAAGCAGGCGUAGCUGCCCUCCUCCUCCUCCUCUCCGUUUCCGAAGCGGUGUGUGUGGUGGCGAUCUCCCGUUCCCUUCUAGUGUCUGGGCCUUCUCCCCCUUUGAUCAGAUCUACGGCGACGGGGGAAGUCGUCAGCCGGCGUACCUCUGAUCAGCAUGAACGACCAGACCCAAAUCCGACUCGGACUCAACCCAAGCUCGAUCUUGAUCUAGUUGCCCCGAUCGUCCGUUUUAUCAAAUGACAACACUGUGCAGUGAUAGCGUUCUUCUCAAUGCCACUACCUGUCUGAUCGACUCUCAUCUCCCCUCUCCUCUGGUGGCGGCUUCUCAUCUACAGUUUCUCCACCUCCCCUGCGGCAACAUCCCUGCCCUCCACUUCGAGGAUUACGCCACUAGUCUGGCUUAUCAUACAUCCCGCUUACAAUAAUCAACUUUUUGUGGCUUAGUUUUUUUUUUUCUUUUGUUGUUGAUCUGUGAUAAGUCUCGGCUCCCCGAAAAUAGUCGCUGGUUUGAACCAAUCAUGAUAGCCUGGCUGAUUUGGUUUGAUUGUUUAGGUAGAUAAUUGCUGGUUUGAAUCGAUCUAGGAAGUUGGGCUGUUAUGAUUUGACUGUUUAUAUAGGGGGUUGUUUAAGGCUGAUUGAAUAAUUAUAUCUAGAUGUUGUGAUCUGUGAAGGAUUCUUGCCCCAGGUACCGGUUCAAGACCCCUUUUUGUCAUGCUCCUCUGUUUUCACACAGUAGUAGCCCGAUUGCAUUAGGCACCGCUUCCUAGUAUUGACUGGGGUCCACAUAGAGUUGCUGCAAGAGAUCGAGAACAAGAAUACAAGUAGAAUGAUUUGUACAACUGUAUCUAUGUUUAUUGGAUGCGCUCAUAACACAUUAUAUUUUUCCUUUGCAGUAAUUCCGGUGGAUCUGCUCUAUUUUUCUGUCCAUGUAAUUUUUCUCUUGAAUAUUUUACCUUAUACACAUUUUUGUUAUCAAUGGGCAUUCAUUGAUU